CUUUUCAGCCAACAUAUGUCACGCAAUUCAGCCAAUCAACUGACUUCUUCUUCAAACGCCGUUCUGUCUCGACUGCCAGAGUUUUUCACUGUGAAAAAAGGACUAGAUGGACUUCUUUUUAAAAAGGGAGGUCCCUCUUCAGGAGGCCAGGAAAUAAAUGACUUUGCUUCUCUCUCACUAUUUGUUCCCUACCACCAACUGCUUGACAUGAUUUAUGUAAAGAAUGACAUAUAUUUUGCCAACGUUUGAGCCUGAGUGCCUUGGGCUGUUGAAAAAACAAAAUCUCAGCACAUUCAUUAUGAUUUGCAAAGUGUUUGUGUUUAUUUUCUUGUAGAUUCGUUUUGAAAAAAUGGUGUUUCUUGUAUCACUCCACAUGUGGUUGGAUCAGAUAGUUUAUUAAAAAAAUGUAACUCAUUGAUGACAGUGACACAUUUUGCAGAUGUUUGUACUUCAGUGGGAAUGUUCUCUGUACAGUAACAGCAUGUCUUAACUUCUGUAAAUGCUGCGUCAGCAUCUAUGAUCUUUGCUUUUACGAUAUGACUUUUAGGUUGAAAUUUUAUACUGUAUUGUUAAAUGCUUAAAGCAUGGCAACACGGACAGAUGAAAAAAGUUCUAGUUUUUUGUAAUAAAUUGUGAUACUAUCAUA